AAUCAACGCUGGCGGCGUGCCUAACACAUGCAAGUCGAACGCGAAAGCCCCGCAAGGGGUUAGUAGAGUGGCAAACGGGUGAGUAACACGUGGGUGACCUGCCCUCGAGUGGGGGAUAACGUCCCGAAAGGGACGCUAAUACCGCAUAAUAUGCCGCCUUUUAAGAGGUGGACAUCAAAGCUGGGGAUCGCAAGACCUAGCGCUUGAAGAGGGGCCCGCGCCUGAUUAGCUAGUGGUGGGGUAAUGGCUCACCAAGGCAACGAUCAGUAUCCGGCCUGAGAGGGCGGACGGACACACUGGGACUGGGGACACGGGCCCAGACUCCUACGGGAGGCAGCAGUGGGGAAUUGUUCGCAAUGGGCGCAAGCCUGACGACGCAACGCCGCGUGGAGGAUGAAGACC
rnacentral:rRNA from 1 species